rnacentral:rRNA from 1 species
AACGCGAAGAACCUUACCUACCCUUGACAUCCUAGGAAGACAGCAGAAAUGUUGUUGUGCCGAAAGGAACCUAGAGACAGGUGCUGCAUGGCUGUCGUCAGCUCGUGUUGUGAGAUGUUGGGUUAAGUCCCGUAACGAGCGCAACCCUUAUCCUUAGUUACCAGCACGUUAUGGUGGGGACUCUAAGGAGACUGCUGGUGAAGAACCGGAGGAAGGCGGGGACGACGUCAAGUCAUCAUGGCCUUUAUGGGUAGGGCUACACACGUGCUACAAUGGGGCGUACAGAGGGAAGCCAACCCGCGAGGGGGAGCCGAUCCCGGAAAGCGCCUCGUAGUCCGGAUUGAAGUCUGCAACUCGACUUCAUGAAGUUGGAAUCGCUAGUAAUCGCGAAUCAGAAUGUCGCGGUGAAUACGUUCCCGGGCCUUGUACACACCGAUAGC